rnacentral:rRNA from 2 species
UACGUAGGUGGCAAGCGUUGUCCGGAAUUAUUGGGCGUAAAGAGCAUGUAGGCGGGCUUUUAAGUCCGACGUGAAAAUGCGGGGCUUAACCCCGUAUGGCGUUGGAAACUGGAAGUCUUGAGUGCAGGAGAGGAAAGGGGAAUUCCCAGUGUAGCGGUGAAAUGCGUAGAUAUUGGGAGGAACACCAGUGGCGAAGGCGCCUUUCUGGACUGUGUCUGACGCUGAGAUGCGAAAGCCAGGGUAGCAAACGGG